rnacentral:rRNA from 1 species
GACGAACGCUGGCGGCGUGCCUAAUACAUGCAAGUCGAGCGGACAGAAGGGAGCUUGCUCCCGGAAGUUAGCGGCGGACGGGUGAGUAACACGUGGGCAACCUACCCUGUAGAUCGGGAUAACAUCGAGAAAUCGGUGCUAAUACCGGAUAAUCAUUUGAAGUGCAUGCUUCGAAUGUAAAAGAUGGCUCCGGCUAUCACUACGGGAUGGGCCCGCGGGGCAUUAGCUAGUUGGUAAGGCAAUGGCUUACCAAGGCAACGAUGCGUAGCCGACCUGUGAGGGUGAUCGGCCACACUGGGACUGAGACACGGCCCAGGCUCCUACGGGAGGCAGCAGUAGGGAAUCUUCCGCAAUGGACGAAAGUCUGACGGAGCAACGCCGCGUGAGUGAUGAAGGUUUUCGGAUCGUAAAGCUCUGUUGUUAGGGAAGAACAAGUGCCGUUUGAAUAUGGCGGCACCUUGACGGUACCUAACCAGAAAGCCACGGCUAACUACGUGCCAGCCGCCGCGGUAAUAC